rnacentral:lncRNA from 1 species
AGUAAUUACACCUUGUUUUAAGGAAGCCGGUAACUCCCCAUUUUCUAUUGAUUCGUGAAACAUAGCAAGAAUGAAAGGAAUCAAUUUAUCAUUGAAUGCUUUAUAAAACUCGCUUAUUAAACCAUCAUUUCCAGGGGACCUAUUGUCCUUAAGGCUUUUAAUACAGUCUUUUAUCUCAAUUUCAGGUAACUCAUCACAAAAAUCCCUGAAAUCAUUAUCUAUCUUAGCAAUGUUUGCAGCACGUCAUGCUCUUAUCAACUGAGCUACGAAGGAGCACGUCGAAGUCACUAGAAUGAUGACAAGCAAUUUUAAGGGAUUCUAAAGGGAAUCAGAAUUCCAAACUAAUUUCUAUGGCAACACAGUUGUCAAUUUUGUAAACAAUCAUUUUCGAACGUGUGUUGCCAAGAGACAUCUAACCGACGUUCUAUGGAACGUUUUCUGUGCGAAAACAACAACUUUGCUGCUGACAACAAACUUGUUUGAUUUUUGAGACCUGAGAACAAUCGACUGGAAAAUGCCUGGGUGCUUUUCAAGACUGGCGGAGAGAGUGCGUGGACGUCGGCGGCCUACUGCGUCGACAGGUUGUUCAAAUUCAUUUGUGGCUUGUUUUUCUUGUCUUUUUCUGUUUUGCAGGGUUCGUGAUCGUCGACAGGUGGACAGCGACUUCGAAGAGGAAACAACUGUCCUGGAUGAGGUCCAGUUGGAUGUGCCAUUGGAUGAUGUGCUAGAUGUUCCACAGCUGCCAGUCCUCCUUGAUGUCCAGAAUGCUGCUAUCAUCCUUGAGGAUGUGCCAGAUGUGCAGACUAUCCUUGAGGUACAAUUUUCUGAAAGUUUGGGGUUUUAUGUUUGAAAAAUAUCCCAGAUAUUCAAGUUGUGUCUCUUUAACAUGAAACACAUCUCUUGUCUGCUUUCUGCUUUAGGAGGCCACUGGCAUUUGGCAGUUGAUUCCGAUUAGGUUCAGCCCCCAGUACUGUGGGCCUGUUGUGAACAUGGUAAGAGCCCCCCCCCCCCCACACACACACACACACAGUCACAUCACUGUUACAAUGUUUACUGUUUCCAACAUGGAUGUAUUGUAAUGUGCAGAACAAUGCCGGUCCGGUGGUUAAAGCUUGGAGAACUUUCCAGUUCAUCAG